rnacentral:rRNA from 1 species
UACGGAGGGAGCUAGCGUUGUUCGGAAUUACUGGGCGUAAAGCGCACGUAGGCGGCUUUGUAAGUUAGAGGUGAAAGCCCGGGCUCAACCCGGAAUUGCCUUUAAGACUGCAUCGCUUGAAUCCGGGAGAGGUGAGUGGAAUUCCGAGUGUAGAGGUGAAAUUCGUAGAUAUUCGGAAGAACACCAGUGGCGAAGGCGGCUCACUGGACCGGUAUUGACGCUGAGGUGCGAAAGCGUGGGAGCAAACAGG